rnacentral:pre_miRNA from 9 species
UAGCCAAUCAGAAAUGAGCUUAUUCAUAAAAGUACAGUAUAAUCCAGUAAACCUGUAAUUUUAUGUAUAAGCUAGUCUCUGAUUGAAAAAUGCAACA